CCUACGGGUGGCAGCAGUGAGGAAUAUUGGUCAAUGGACGAGAGUCUGAACCAGCCAAGUAGCGUGAAGGAUGACUGCCCUAUGGGUUGUAAACUUCUUUUAUAUGGGAAUAAAAUGUUCCACGUGUGGGAUUUUGUAUGUACCAUAUGAAUAAGGAUCGGCUAACUCCGUGCCAGCAGCCGCGGUAAUACGGAGGAUCCGAGCGUUAUCCGGAUUUAUUGGGUUUAAAGGGAGCGUAGGUGGAUUGUUAAGUCAGUUGUGAAAGUUUGCGGCGCAACCGUAAAAUUGCAGUUGAAACUGGCAGUCUUGAGUACAGUAGAGGUGGGCGGAAUUCGUGGUGUAGCGGUGAAAUGCUUAGAUAGCACGAAGAACUCCGAUUGCGAAGGCAGUUCACUGGACUGCAACUGACACUGAGGCUCGAAAGUGUGGGUAUCAAACAGGAUUAGAUACCCGUGUAGUC
rnacentral:rRNA from 1 species